GGGCCGUUAGCUCAGUUGGUAGAGCAGCUGACUCUUAAUCAGCGGGUCGUAGGUUCGAGUCCUACACGGCCCACCA
rnacentral:tRNA from 5 species